rnacentral:misc_RNA from 1 species
UACGUAGGGUCCGAGCGUUGUCCGGAAUUAUCGGGCGUAAAGGGCUCGUAGGCGGUUUGUCGCGUCGGGAGUGAAAACCGGGUGCUUAACACUUGGCUUGCUUUCGAUACGGGCAGACUAGAGGCAUGCAGGGGAGAACGGAAUUCCUGGUGUAGCGGUGAAAUGCGCAGAUAUCAGGAGGAACACCGGUGGCGAAGGCGGUUCUCUGGGCAUGUCCUGACGCUGAGGAGCGAAAGCAUGGGUAGCAAACAGG